rnacentral:rRNA from 1 species
AGUGAACGCUGGCGGUAGGCCUAACACAUGCCAGUCGAACGGCAGCACAGUAAGAGCUUGCUCUUACGGGAGGCGAGUGGCGGGGGGGUGAGGAAUACAGCGGAAUCUACUUUUUCGUGGGGGAUCAAGUAGGGACACUUACGCUAAUACCGCAUACGACCUACGGGUGAAAGCAGGGGAUCUUCGGACCUUGCGCGCUGGAAUGAGCCGAUGUCGGAUUAGCUAGUUGGCGGGGUAAAGGCCCACCAAGGCGACGAUCCGUAGCUGGUCUGAGAGGAUGAUCAGCCACACUGGAACUGAGACACGGUCCAGACUCCUACGGGAGGCAGCAGUGGGGAAUAUUGGACAAUGGGCGCAAGCCUGAUCCAGCCAUACCGCGUGGGUGAAGAAGGCCUUCGGGUUGUAAAGCCCUUUUGUUGGGAAAGAAAAGCAGCAGGUUAAUACCCCGCUGUUCUGACGGUACCCAAAGAAUAAGCACCGGCUAACUUCGUG